GACGAACGCUGGCGGCGUGCCUAAUACAUGCAAGUCGAGCGAAGAUUUUCUGGUGCUUGCACUAGAAAAACUUAGCGGCGAACGGGUGAGUAACACGUAAAGAACCUGCCUCAUAGACUGGGACAACUAUUGGAAACGAUAGCUAAUACCGGAUAACAGCAUUAACUGCAUGGUUGAUGUUUAAAAGUUGGUUUUGCUAACACUAUGAGAUGGCUUUGCGGUGCAUUAGCUAGUUGGUGGGGUAAAGGCCUACCAAGGCGACGAUGCAUAGCCGACCUGAGGGGGUGAUCGGCCACCCUGGGACUGAGACACGGCCCAGACUCCUACGGGAGGCAGCAGUAGGGAAUCUUCCGCAAUGGGCGAAAGCCUGACGGAGCAACGCCGCGUGAGUGAAGAAGGAUUUCGGUUCGUAAAGCUCUGUUGUUAGGGAAGAAUGAUUGUGUAGUAACUAUACACAGUAGAGACGGUACCUAACCAGAAAGCCACGGCUACCUACGU
rnacentral:rRNA from 1 species